UACUCUGAUUCUGGUGUAAUAAUCAAGGACUUUGCUGCUGUAACAUGGCUGCAAGAGGCACAAUGAUAUUACGCAGUUCCUGAAAAUAGUCCCCUUAGUAACUUCAAUAGCAGGGCACUAUUUUCGGGCACUGCUUAAUAUCAUUGGACAAUGGGGUUGGUUAUUACCCAAAACGCUGUUUCAUGUAAAUGAAUACCCAAAAUGCAUAAAAGUCUACAGGCCAUGUUUGACUGCCUUUUAAGGUUGUCAUUAGACUUUACAAAAGAAACCAGAGAAAGACAGAUUGUUGUCAUGAGGAAAUGCCAGUCGAUCAGCAGUACUCAACCACAGUCAUUUAGGAACUAAACUGGCAAAAGAUGUUGUGUUUGAAAGGAUUACGUAAAAAAUUUUAUCUUGAAACUUGACACAUACUGAAGUUCCCAAUUCUGUCUGAAUGUACAAUCCUCAAUCAUUUCUUUGCUUCAUUUUCAUAUCUUUGUUUUACUGACUUUUUGACUUUUAAGACCAUUUUUAGGUGAAAUCAGUUUGGUCAUCACCACUCGAAGUACAAGCAAGUCAGCAAAGUGAAUUACAGUAAUAUAGAAGGACCUGGUAGGGUUUGAACUGAGCGGUUGAAUCUGAAUGGCUUUGCAAAUUUGGUGAGAACUGAUGAUAUCUCCCUGACAAAAACAUAAACCAGAGACGGCUGAGGCAAGGAACCAAAUCUUCACAAAGAGUCUGACAAAUAAACAUAUGGUCACCUUACAGGGUAGGCUUUCUCACAGGAAAAAGACACUGUAUCCUCUUACCACCGGAUUUGUGUUCUAUUUACUGAACUAUCCACCUGCUUUUUUUAGGCACAGCUUUGGCUAUAAAACAAGUGAAUUACAAGAAUUCUAAUCUUAUGCAUUAAAGCCUUGGUAUACAUUA